UACGACUACAUAUCAGGCAUAUCAAUAAGCGGAGGAAAAGAAACUAACAAGGAUUCCCUUAGUAACGGCGAGUGAAGCGGGAAGAGCUCAAAUUUGAAAUCUUCAAGGUUCUACCUUGACGAAUUGUAGUUUAAAGAAGUGUUUUCUGUUAGAUGAGUAGCAAAGGUUUCUUGGAAUGGGACAUCAUAGAGGGUGAGAAUCCCGUAUUUGGUUAUUCAUUCUAGCUUUGUGAUACACUUUCAAAGAGUCGGAUUGUUUGGGAAUGCAGUCCAAAAUGGGUGGUAAAUUUCAUCUAAAGCUAAAUAUUGGCGAGAGACCGAUAGCGAACAAGUACCGUGAGGGAAAGAUGAAAAGAACUUUGAAAAGAGAGUUAAACAGUAUGUGAAAUUGUCAAAAGGGAAGCGUUUGACACCAGUGUUGUUUUUCCGAAAAUCAAUUACGAAUGGCUUGAUUUUGUGUUGUAUUGACCUUAUCAGCUUUCUUCACUUUUUUCGAGUCUUUCUUAAUGCACUUUUCGGUUAACAAGUCAACAUCAAUUUCUUUUGUUGUAAAAGAGUAAGUCGGAAGGUGGCUUUCUUUUCGGAGAAAGUGUUUAUAGCCCUAUACUUCUACAAUCGGAGAGAUUGAGGUCUGCAGCGUAGAUCCUUCGGGGUUAGAUACAUUUGUGCUAAGUUGUAGCUUUUCAUAGACAACUUGUUGACUAUGUUUAGUCAUGCGGCUUACUCGCUUGUGCUAUUUUACCUACGCUUAGGAUGUUGAGUAGCGACAUACGCAC
rnacentral:rRNA from 1 species